AUGGGCACCAGGCUCCUCGGCUAUGCAGCCCUGUGUCUCCUGGCAGCAGGCUCUUUUCAUGCCAAAGUCACACAGACUCCAGGACAUUUGGUCAAAGGAAAAGGACAGAAAACAAAGAUGAAUUGUACCCCCGAAAAAGGACAUACUUUAUUGUAUCAAAAGAAUCAGAAUAAAGAGUUUAUGCUUUUGAUUUCCUUUCAGAAUGAACAAGUUCUUCAAGAAACGGAGAUGCACAAGAAGCGAUCCUCAUCUCAAUGCCCCAAGAACACACCCUGCAGCCUGGCAAUCCUGUCCUCAGAACUGGGAGACACGGCACUGUAUCUCUGUGCCAGCAGUCAAUCCACAGUACUGAAAUGUCAGUUCCUCUUAGCACACAAACUUGUCACAGACCCAGCUCAGGAAGCAGGUGAUGUAUUAGGCUGGAAGGGAGUGACAGAAAAUAACUGGAGCCAGCUUAAGCCACAGUGGAAUUUAACACAAGGAUAA